ensembl:lncRNA
CAGUUGUCUGCAUUCUUAUCACUUUGUGGGAGUAGAGGUGUGUUUCCCCUAGACUGUGUUCGGUGAGUUAACUAAGUAUUGAAUUUCAAAAUAGAUUAAUUACAAGUUAUAUUUGUACACUUUAAAUUUGAUGGUUUUAAUCAUAGUUUAGCAUAGUAAAGUUGCUAAAGUUAAAGUUGUUAGCUAGCUUUCUUUUAGCUAGCAAACGUUCCUCGCAAAUACAGAGUACAUUGUCAAUUUUUCCACUUAUACUUAAAAUUUGUCACUUGUCAGGGUGCAUUUGGUUAGCUGACAGACCUUGCAGACAGCAGAGCAUGUUCAAUUUGAACCUGUAUAUGUUCAAAUUAACCAGUCAGCAGCUGCCUGCAUUUUUAUCAUGGUGUCAGAGUAAAUUUGUUUCGACGGUCUUGGGUGAGGUAACUAAUUACUGACAGAGUGAAAUGUGGUGAAUUUAUGCCAGAGUAUUUAUGUGAGUAAAAGUAUUUCUAUCAAAUGUAUUGAUAUUUUAAGCGCAAAUGUGAAAUAUGCCUGAGGUUAAAGUUAGUUGACCUAGCAAGAAAAAACUAAAUUGUGUGUGUGCACAUAAGACUUGCUUUCGUUACCUUCUGUAAUUGUAAGCAUAAUGUGAAGUGUGGGAUUGUGGCAUGUCUACAGUGGUCUUCAAAUAAUUAAAAAGAAAAUUCUCUCACACAUUUGGAUAUGACACACUUUUUCCAAUUUUAAACUACAGUCUGUAGAUUUAUUUAUUUAUUUUUUGAAUUUUGGAUUCAUCUUUUCAGUGUUUCAUUGUAGUAUUUUAGAGAAGGUUUUAUACUUAAAAUAACUUGUUAACUCAAAAGCCUCGAUAAGCCUUUGUAGUCUUUUAUAGUCCUUAGAACUCAACAAAAACUGUUUGAAAUAGUCUCCAAAUCUAGGUUACAUUUACUUUCACUCACCUUAACCUACUGCUAGCAAAGGGUGCAUUGAAAGCAGGGCAUUAUGUAACAGAUUAAAUUCAAGUUAUAAAAAUUAAAUUGUUUAUUGGUUAAAAACAAAAAUUAAAUCAAUAAUUAGCAAAACGCUAGUCCUAUGAAUGUAAUAUGUUUGACUUUUGGCCUAGUAAACUUUUUUUAUUCUCCAGAGUUCAGUGGAAACAAGAAGAGAGGUCGCAAUCCGUUGCCUGAUGGUGUAUCUGAAAGAGAAAGAAGAGGAUCUCUUCAGAGAACAGCUGGAUGGUGAAGAACAGUUCUCAGAAGAAGUGGUAAAGAUCGUAGUCACCAGACGUGCAGCAGUGCCACUUCCAGCCGUCGCUAAAAUUGUGAUUGAAGGAACAGCUGUCCUGGAAGACCUUGAUGUGCCCAGAGCGUGUGCCUUAAUGAUGGGACUUAUAUACGCUCUCAAUCUGAGCUACCCCAAACAAGUAAAGAACACUCUAGAGGUAUUCCAGAAGGUGUUUCUGGAACUUGAUGGGCUUAAAGCCAGCCCACAGGUAAUGUCUCUUAAGUACAAACUUCUGUUAUAAAACAAAUGUAAUUUAGGCUGCAAUAUUCAGAUGUGCUGAUGCUUGUGUUUUUUAUGCAGUCUUAGACAAGUGUAGUUUUGAGAGUUCAUAAUACGUAUAACCUUACCUUUGGAUUGUUGCGUUGUUAAAUAUUAACAUGUUUUGUAAUUUUCUUGAUUCUGUGAUAUUUACCAAGUUGCUAGGUUAAAGUUAAUGUUUAAUAAUACCGGUAAGCAGAUUUGCAAAAACAAAUUGCCUCACUUUGCAAUGUUUGUUUUCUGAGGUAUUUUAGAAGGGUGUGAUUUAAAAUUAUUGUUAUUUGGAAGACUUGAGAUAUAUAUAUAUAUAUAUAUAUAUAUAUAUAUAUAUAUAUAUAUAUAUAUAUGCGCCGCUUUAUUUUUAAUAUACCUUUACAAAUCUUUAUAGUGGUUCUCAAAGUCGGUCAUCAGGCCCCACUGCUCUGCUUCUUUCUAUUAAUAACUAAACACUGUUGAUUGGCUGG